AAUUCGAUGCAACGCGAAGAACCUUACCAAGGCUUGACAUGGAUUUCUAAGCACGUGAAAGCGUGUGACCUUCGGGGACUUCCACAGGUGCUGCAUGGCCGUCGUCAGCUCGUGUCGUGAGAUGUUGGUUAAGUCCCGCAACGAGCGCAACCUUGUGACUAGUUGCCAGCACGUAAUGGUGGGAACUCUAGUCAGACUGCCCAGAUCAACUGGGAGGAAGGUGGGGACGACGUCAGAUCAUCAUGCCCCUUAUGACCUGGGCUACAAACGUGAUACGAUGGCUGGAACAAAGGGAGGCGAAGGGGUGACCUGGAGCGAAACCCAAAAAUACAGUCUCAGUUCGGAUUGAAGUCUGCAACUCGACUUCAUGAAGUCGGAAUCGCUAGUAAUCGCGGAUCAGAACGCCGCGGUGAAUACGUUCUCGGGGUUU
rnacentral:rRNA from 1 species